CCGGGCCCGAGACGGGGAGAAGCGUGUCUGGGUCUGGGACCAAGGGAUCAGAAGAUGGAUGGAAACGACACGUGAGUCCUCCAGACCCUGCCUCCACCAGACUGCUCUGCUCUAGCGGUGUUCCAGAGGAUUCUUUUCUAGAACCAUCCCUUUCCUAACCAGUGGAGAAUUCCCCAUGAUCCUCCAAAGGCAUUUAAAAGUCCGCCUGAACAACAACAACAGAAAAAAGUGGAAGUCCUUCCCCUUCUGGCUCCAGUCAACAAGAGGAGAGAAGGACUCGGAGCCCCAGCUGGCAUGGGAGGAAGAUAAAUAAGAAAAAACAAAACAUGUCCUCAUGCUACAGUGGAAUGUUUAAAAAAGAGGUGAAAAGCACAAG